AAGAUGGGCGUGCAUAGGGGAAGAGACAACCGGGUCCUUGAGAGUGGUGUCAGGACGGUUUGUAUUAGGAAUUCUAAGAUUAUAUAGAAUACAUCCCUUAGGAGCUCUGAAGGCGGGUUUGGCCUCCCGUGUACAAAUUGGUCGGGAGCUAAUACCGCUCUCCUAGUGAGGCCAUGGCGGACCAAAACCAGUUAUCGUGCCUAAUGUAGUCUGCUAUCGCUCGAUACAAAGGAUG